GAUGAACGCUGGCGGCGUGCCUAAUACAUGCAAGUCGAGCGAACAGACGAGGAGCUUGCUCCUCUGACGUUAGCGGCGGACGGGUGAGUAACACGUGGAUAACCUACCUAUAAGACUGGGAUAACUUCGGGAAACCGGAGCUAAUACCGGAUAACAUAUUGAACCGCAUGGUUCAAUAGUGAAAGACGGUUUUGCUGUCACUUAUAGAUGGAUCCGCGCCGCAUUAGCUAGUUGGUAAGGUAACGGCUUACCAAGGCAACGAUGCGUAGCCGACCUGAGAGGGUGAUCGGCCACACUGGAACUGAGACACGGUCCAGACUCCUACGGGAGGCAGCAGUAGGGAAUCUUCCGCAAUGGGCGAAAGCCUGACGGAGCAACGCCGCGUGAGUGAUGAAGGUCUUCGGAUCGUAAAACUCUGUUAUUAGGGAAGAACAAAUGUGUAAGUAACUAUGCACGUCUUGACGGUACCUAAUCAGAAAGCCACGGCUAACUACGU
rnacentral:rRNA from 1 species